AACGCACAUUGCGCCCCUUGGUAUUCCAUGGGGCAUGCCUGUUCGAGCGUCAUUGACACCCUCAAGCUCUGCUUGGUGUUGGGCCGUUGUCGUUUUCUCGUCCCCCAGCGACACAGCGACACCCCUCAAAGUCAUUGGCGGCCUUUCUGCCCAGCUUCCCGCGCAGCAGUUCGCGCUUCGGAGACCACUUGGCAGGCUGGCAUCCAUCAAGCUGACCCUCUUACGCUUGACCUCGGAUCAGGUAGGGAUACCCGCUGAACUUAA
rnacentral:misc_RNA from 1 species